AGAGAAAUCAAGGGUCUCAAGCUAUCAAAGUCAGUCUGCUGCGAUGUCAAGUCAUCACAAAAGGGAUUCUGCAGAUGUAAUGAAGGUUACUGAUUUUGAGAUGAGAGAUGAUCCUGGCUUAUCUGGGUGGGCCCAUCUAAUCACGUGGCCCUGAAAAUCAGAGAACCCUUCCUAGCCGGGUCAGAAAUGAGAUGGAAGAAGAGGGGGGUAGAUUUGAAGAGUGAGGGGACUUGAUCUGCUGCUGGAGGCUUUGAAGAAGGGGAAAGGGUUGUGAGCCGAAAAACGUGAGCACCUUGAGAAGCUCAGAAUGGUCCUCAGCUGACAGCCUGCAAGGAACCGGAGACCUCAGUCCUACAACUGCAAGGGAGUGAAAUCUGCCAAUACCCCGAGUGAGAAGGGGAACGCAUCCUCCCCAGGUACCUGCAGAAAGGAAACUGGGCUGCAGAUGCCUUUUUAGCCUGAAUGGUUUCAGGCCCACCUGUUGGAGCCAGUGUGUCCCUCUUUGAGUGGCUGAGGGUCCAUUCUGGGUGGCCGGCUGUCCAGCAGUGGAUGGCGAGUGACCACCAUGAACAAUUGAGUGUUUGCUUGUGAACACUGUUCUCUCUUCCCCCGACCUGUUACCUGGAUGUGUGGAGAUUGGGUGGGGCCUGCCCUGCAUCCUACUAUAGGAAAUCUCGUCAACCAGAACCAGGUAGGUCAUAUGGCAUCCUGAGGGCUGGAGCCCGAUGCUCCCCUGUCUGCCCAGUGCUUGGGGGAUGCUGUGCUGGGGGAGAUGCUGUGCCCAGGAGGAGAGGAACCCCAGGACUGACUCUCCUGACCCCCACUGGUGGAGGCCUUCCCAGUCUCAGUGCCUCAGCUACUUCAGGUAUGUGGAGGUCAGGGGGCCUGGUGGAUACUGUCCCUCACUGUCCCUCUCGCUUCCCAUGGAGCUUCCCCCUCACACUCUCAGCCCAUCCAUCCAAGCUGGUCCAGUUAGGUCAGGCAGGCAUCUCAGAGGUGGGGGCUCAGAAUGCAGCCGGGUAGAUGAGAGAUGGAUCCUGACCCCAGCAGGUGCUGAGACAGAGGGAAGGGAUCUGCUUUGGAACUGAAGAGGGCCUCCUCCCAGCAAUGUCCCUGCGGAGUCCUCAAAAGAAUGUAGGGUUCAUGGGAGCUGCAGGGUCCCCCAGCUGGGACUUGGCUGAUCUGAUGACCUUAGACUCAGAGAUGGAUGGACAUCCUCAACUCAGAUGGAUGAUCCACUCCUGAACCAGGUGAGCUGGUGAAGGUGGGACUUGUGCCAGGCCAGGAGUGGGGUCUGGGGCCCUGGCUCUGGUAGGGGAAGGGAUAGGGGCCGGGCCAGGCCAGGGCUGCAGUGGUUGACCAGGUUCGCCCCUGUGUGCAUGCCAUGUCUGCAGGUAGACACAUGGGUGUGCAGACACACAGGUACAUGCUUGCCUGUAUACAUACAUAUCCAGGUAAAUGGACACCCUAAUGAGCAGUACAUUUCUUCUCCAACAUCUAUUAGCCCAGCCUCAAUCAGAAAACAAAACCCAACUCCCCACCAGCCAAACGCACCCUCAGUCUCCAACCUCCCACCUGAAAAUGGGCAACACAGACCAGCACCUGGCUCUCAGUACAUAUUUAUUACCCCAGCUCCCUGUCCAUUUGUCACCUUGACACCCAGUGAGCUUGGUUCCCAACAUCCGUUUGUCAACAGCUGUACUUCCGCUAAAUGAUAUGCAACACCUGAAAUCUCUACCAGGUUAAUGCCUGGUACUCUCACGCUUGAGUCCCUUUGUCACCCAGUACCCAAACAAGCUACUACUUGAUUGUUUGACACCCCCCAAAAGUUUGCCACUUCCAAGCCCUAUGCUUGUUCACACCUUGGCUGUGGUCAGGUUCUGGGAAUGUAAACUGUGGCCUGAUUCUACCCACUCCUUCCCUCCAUGGGUGAGAGACCAUCUGGGUCUCCUGACUAUCGAGCAGUACAACUUGACCAGCAAGGCCUAAAGGCCCACGGGGCACAGACAGGGAGCUGAGAACACUUGUGCCUGAGCUUCUGCCUGCCUGUGGCUGGAGACCCCCAUGCCCCAGCUUUCCCUUCUCUGCCUCCCCCACCACCCCAGAGCCUUGAGUCUGGCUGAGGCUGGCUCAUCUCCUCCCCCCAAGUUGGGCAGUGCUUAGGUGGAUGUCCCCUCUAUCAGUCAGUGUCUCCAGAGAAACAGAACUAAUAGGACAUAGGGAUAUAUGAGAGAUUUAUUUUAAGCAAUUGGCUCAUGUAGUUGUGGGGGCUGGCAAGUCUGAAGUGUGCAGGGUUGGAUGGGAAGUCGGGUGGGAGCCGAUGCUGCAGUCUUGAGGCAGAGUUCUUUCUUCUCCGGAAAACCUCAGUUUUUGCUUUUCGGUCCUUCAACUGAUUGGAUGAGGCUCAUCCGCAUUAUUCAGGAUAAUCUGCUUUACUUAAAGGUAACUGACUGAAAAUGUGAACCACAUCUACAAAAUACCUUCACAGCAACACUUAGAUUAGUGUUUGAUUGAAUAAUGGGUAUGACCAAUUUACACGCCCACUGGCAGUGCAUGGAAGUUCUCAUUGCUGCACAUCCUUGUCAAACCUUGGUGUUGCCAGUUUGUGCUUUUAGCCAUUCGAAAGAUGCCUGCUGAAAAAAAAAAAAAAGAUGCCUACUGAGAGCUCACUGUAGUUUUAACUCGAA